ACAUCCCGAUGCUAUUUCUAGAGAUAGAAAGUUACUUCGGUACAUCGGUGACAGGUGGUGCAUGGUUGUCGUCAGCUCGUGUCGUGAGAUGUUGGGUUAAGUCCCGCAACGAGCGCAACCCCUAUUGUUAGUUGCCAUCAUUCAGUUGGGCACUCUAGCGAGACUGCCGGUAAUAAACCGGAGGAAGGUGGGAUGACGUCAAAUCAUCAUGCCCCUUAUGACCUGGGCUACACACGUGCUACAAUGGUUGGUACAACGAGUUGCGAGUCGGUGACGGCGAGCUAAUCUCUUAAAGCCAAUCUCAGUUCGGAUUGUAGGCUGCAACUCGCCUACAUGAAGUCGGAAUCGCUAGUAAUCGCGGAUCAGCACGCCGCGGUGAAUACGUUCCCGGGCCUU
rnacentral:rRNA from 1 species